GCCCUCUCAGGAUCACUCCUGGAGAGUUUCCAGUACUCUACUAGUAUCCGCAAUGGUAGGGAGAGUCAAGCAGAGGCCUACCCUUUCCAUUCCUAGCUUGGACUGUGGCUAGCGAAUGGAAGGCAAUCUGAUACAAGU